rnacentral:rRNA from 1 species
AUUGAACGCUGGCGGCAUGCCUUACACAUGCAAGUCGAACGGUAACGGGCCUUCGGGUGCCGACGAGUGGCGAACGGGUGAGUAAUGUAUCGGAACGUACCUUUCAGUGGGGGAUAACGUAGCGAAAGUUACGCUAAUACCGCAUAUUCUGUGAGCAGGAAAGCAGGGGAUCGCAAGACCUUGCGCUGAUUGAGCGGCCGAUAUCAGAUUAGCUAGUUGGUGAGGUAAAGGCUCACCAAGGCGACGAUCUGUAGCGGGUCUGAGAGGAUGAUCCGCCACACUGGAACUGAGACACGGUCCAGACUCCUACGGGAGGGCAGCAGUGGGGGAAUUUUUGGGACAAAUGGGGGCAACCCUGAUCCAGCCAUGCCGCGUGAGUGAAGAAGGCCUGGUU